AACGCGAAGAACCUUACUAACGUGAACACCUUACCUGGGUUUGACAUCAAGGUGGUAGGGAACCGAAAGGGGACCGACCUUCGGGAGCCGUGACAGGUGCUGCAUGGCUGUCCUCAGCUCGUGUCGUGAGAUGUUCGGUUAAGUCCGAAAACGAGCGCAACCCUCGGGUCUAGUUACACGUGUCUAGACCGACUGCCCGGGAGAACCGGGAGGAAGGUGGGGAUGACGUCAAGUCAGCAUGGCCUUUAUAUCCAGGGCGACACACACGCUACAAUGGGCGGUACAAUGGGUCGCGAAGCCGCGAGGUGGAGCCAAUCCUAAAAAGCCGUUCGUAGUUCGGAUUGCAGGCUGCAACCCGCCUGCAUGAAGCCGGAGUUGCUAGUAACCGCGCGUCAGCUAUAGUGCGGUGAAUACGUUCUCGGGUCUUGUACACACCGAGGGUCUUGUACACACCG
rnacentral:rRNA from 1 species